AGAUUGAACGCUGGCGGCAUGCCUUACACAUGCAAGUCGAACGGCAGCACGGGAGCAAUCCUGGUGGCGAGUGGCGAACGGGUGAGUAAUAUAUCGGAACGUGCCCAGUCGUGGGGGAUAACGCAGCGAAAGCUGUGCUAAUACCGCAUACGAUCUAUGGAUGAAAGCGGGGGAUCGCAAGACCUCGCGCGAUUGGAGCGGCCGAUAUCAGAUUAGCUAGUUGGUGGGGUAAAAGCCUACCAAGGCGACGAUCUGUAGCUGGUCUGAGAGGACGACCAGCCACACUGGAACUGAGACACGGUCCAGACUCCUACGGGAGCAGCAGUGGGAAUAUGCACAAUGGGCGAAAGCCUGAUGCAGCGACGCCGCGUGAGGAUGAAGGCCUUACGGUUGUAAACCUCGUUUCGAGCAGGACGAAGCGCAAGUGACGUACC
rnacentral:rRNA from 1 species